rnacentral:tRNA from 1 species
UAAAAGUUAGUUAACCCACAUAACAUUUUGAUGUCAUCAAAAAAUUAUAAUUAAAUUUAUACUUUUAU